ACAGACGCCUAUGUUACGACUACGAGUUAUUGACUCGUUUACUGCACUAGAUUACUGUAAUACUGUUUGUCGUGUGUUUGACUUAACAUUUUUGUUUGUGAAUUUCAGUCUCAAUAAUUUAAAUUAUUUAACGUUUGAUUAAGAUUUGUUGACUAUAUUAUCGUUUUAUUCACAUCACAUUUCCUAAUUUUGUUUGUAUCACGAGCUUCCUCAUCAAACAUGGGAUCUGACGAACCAGAACAAUACAGAAAAUUAUUCAUCGGUGGUUUAAACUACACUACAACUAAUGAUUCACUUAAAGAAUUUUUUGAGCAAUGGGGAGAAAUUGUUGAUGUUGUUGUCAUGAAAGACCCUCAAACCAAAAGAUCUCGAGGAUUUGGAUUUAUUACUUAUUCUCAAUCGUCUAUGGUUGAUCAAGCCAUGUCAAAUAGACCUCAUAAAAUAGAUGGUCGUGAAGUAGAAACCAAGCGAGCUGUUCCUCGUGACGAUAUUGAUAAACCAGACAUAGCAGCUACUGUAAAAAAAAUGUUUGUUUCUGGUAUAAAAGAACAAUCAGAAAAUGAUCUUCAUGAAUAUUUCGGAAAAUUUGGCAAUAUCACUAAUGUAACUAUAGUAACUGAUAAAGAUUCUGGUCAAAGAAAGGGAUUUGGAUUUAUUGAGUAUGAUGAUACCGAUUCAGUUGAUAAAGCUGUUUUGAUCAAAAGUCACCAAGUUGCUGGAGGAAAAUUGGAUGUGAAGAAAGCCAUCAGUCGUAGUGAUGGUGGUGGUGGUGGCCGUGGUGGAAGAGGCGGUCGUGGUGGUGGUGGAGGAGGCGGUGGUAAUAGAAGCAGCUGGGGUGGAAAUCAUCCACGAAAUGACCAAUGGGGAGGACACCAUAACAGAUCCAAUGGUGGCGGCGGAGGAUAUGGAAAUUCUGGAAUGGGAGGAGGAUAUGGCUCUGGCGGUGGUGGUGGUGGAUAUGGAGGUAGUGCAGGUGGUUACAACUCAAAUUCUGGUGGAGCUUGGCAAGGUGGUGGCGGUGCUCCUCAAAGUUGGGGUAACAAUAAUCCAGCAUGGGGCAACCAAGGAGGAGGUGGCGAUAGUUGGGGAGGUUCACAACAACCUAGUAACAACUGGGGUCCAAAUCAAAGUUAUGGUGGUGGUGGUGGCCCAAUGAGGUCAAAUUAUACCUCUAAUAAUCGUGCUACACCUUAUGGAAACCCAGGUAGAGCUGGUAAUGUAAAUGCUGGUAAUGCUGGUUACGGUCAAAAUCCUGGUCGGCGGUACUAAUGCAUAACUUUCAUCUAAAGGAUGGAAGAUGACUGUCAACUGAUGUACAUUCACCAUGAAUUAAUAUUUAUGAUAUGGAUCCUGUCACUGAAAGAAAAUUUAUUAAGUAUAUACCAUACACAAACAGGAAAAUCAGUUGAUCCGCUGAAAUAAAUUUUGAUAACACAAAAAAAUAUAAAUGUUUACAGUACUGGAAAAGAUCUUGUCACAGAGCUGUAUUGGCAAUUAUGCAUAGAGCAAGUUCAGACACUUUAAAAUAUUUUUCAGGCUGGCGGUGUUCGAAAAUUACUACGAAAUGGAGAUAACAUUUUUAUAAAGCGUAGAAUUUAACUUGUAUUUAAUUAUGAAAAAUAUAAUCUUUUUUAAUAUA